rnacentral:misc_RNA from 1 species
UUAUGAAGUUGGUGACCAUGGUCGUGGGCAUUCCCAUGAUAGAGAAUCUAAUUAUGAUCAUGUUGAUUCAAAACAUGAGAGGGAUCGCCGUGCUGAAAGGGACUAUGAUCAUGCUGAGCCAGAGGAUGACCGUGGUUGGUAUGAACAAUCUGAGCAAGAGCAUAGGCAGCCAGAUGCCGAGCAUGAUCGGCCUUAUGAUCAUUAUGAAGAUCACCGAAGUAGGAGACAAAAUGAUCAUAAGGAUGUUCAAGGUGACCAUGACCGCUAUGAUCAAUAUCCUGAUCAUGAUCAGGAUCGUAAUGAUCGGAUGGAUGACGAUGAUUAUUAUCAUGAAGCAUCUGAAUCACAUCAAAGAGAGCAUGAAUAUCGGCGCUCAAAGAGGUCACUUUCCCAGGACUAUGAUAACUGAAGGUGCACGUUUGCUGUAAUCAGCUGUUGUGCUUUGCCUGUAAGGUCACUGAGGAUAACUGAAGCCCUUUUUGCUAUAUUGCUCUUUGCCUUUCCUACCUGAUUUGGUUUGAAUUAUGUGAAUUAGUGUAGGUGUUUGUUUGAUUAAAAGCCAGAGUGGCUUGUUUUCUCUACUUUAAAUAUUGCCGUUGGACUUCCAUUUUA